GCAUAUACCUCAGGAGGUUAGAGGACUCGGUAGGCAGUAAACGCCGGUUCAAGUCCGGUACUAUCCA
rnacentral:tRNA from 1 species